CAAACCACUCAUUUCUCCUUUGCUGAAAAAAUUUCUUGGAGAAAGAAGAAGAAGCAUAAUGGCUACAAGCGCAUCUGCAUUGCUCUCACCAACCACAUUCUCCACUGCCAUCUCUCAUAAGAACCCUAACACCAUCUCAUUCCAUGGCCUUCGUCCUCUCCGUCUCGGUGGCUCAUCCUCCUCCGCCUUACCCAAACUAUCAACCACCUCCGGAAGAAAAUCGUCCUCCGCCGUCGUGAGAGCUGAGCUUAGCCCUUCCGUGGUCAUAAGCCUGAGCACAGGUCUCUCCCUCUUCCUCGGCCGUUUCGUCUUCUUCAACUUCCAGAGAGAGAACGUAGCGAAACAGGUACCGGAGCAGAACGGGAAAACCCACUUCGAAGCUGGAGAUGACCGUGCUAAAGAGUACGUCAGCCUCUUGAAAUCAAACGAUCCAGUUGGAUUCAACAUCGUCGAUGUUCUUGCUUGGGGUUCUAUUGGACACAUCGUUGCUUACUACAUCUUGGCUACUUCCAGCAAUGGGUACGACCCCAGCUUCUUUGGCUGAUUUAUCCCAUCUCUCUCUCUCGUAUAUGUAUAUGUUUGACUUGUUCCGCAAGCUAUCU
rnacentral:lncRNA from 1 species